GUGGGACAUGUCGUUUUCACCAUCCAGAGGCGUAUGGAGAUCGCCCAUCAUGUACACGGACGAGGCAGACUGCCGGUUUUGGGGGUCAUGCUCCUCCACUUCCCCCACAGUGAAGGCAAUGCGAGGGCUUGUUCGACAAAGUUCACAAAACUCCCUUGAGGACUAUAACUGCUUUUGAGUGAAGUACGGAAAAUGCUGCUGCAUCCGAAAGCCAGAGGGCGCUCUCGUGCGGAAACUCCAAAUACGCACUGCAGAAGAAGACCAUAACACGUUCUAGAAUCUAGGAAAUGCCUAUGGACAUCUUUUUAUCAGUGUUACUCAAGCCUCAU